rnacentral:rRNA from 1 species
UACAGAGGGGGCAAGCGUUGUUCGGAAUUACUGGGCGUAAAGGGCGCGUAGGCGGCCGCCUAAGUCAGACGUGAAAUCCCUCGGCUCAACCGGGGAACUGCGUCUGAUACUGGGUGGCUUGAAUCCGGGAGAGGGAUGCGGAAUUCCAGGUGUAGCGGUGAAAUGCGUAGAUAUCUGGAGGAACACCGGUGGCGAAGGCGGCAUCCUGGGACCGGCAUUGACGCUGAGGCGCGAAAGCCAGGGGAGCAAAGCGGGG